rnacentral:lncRNA from 1 species
UACAAGCACUGGCUCUGCCAUCGGAGAUGAAAGGGUACACGCGGGGUUCUCCGACCUUCCAGCCGUGUGACCUCGGACUGGGGAGCAGAGACCUCUGUUUGCUUAGCUCCCUCCACUUGCCUUCCUUGAAUGUGGGAACCCCGGACUCUGUCUUGGAAAAGACCUGGCCUCUCCUUCUCUGGGUUGGGUCCAUCCGUGGGCUCCCGCAGAGGCCUGUGGUUGCAGAGACUGGAAGCUGCAGCUUCAGGAGGGUAAGUGACUGUGCCCGGGAGCCGCACUGAGCAGCAGCGGGCUCCGCAGGGCCUCCAGGCUCCCCAGGGCAUCAGUGGGUGCUGCCACCUCCCCCUUCUCUGUGAGCUGGCACUGUGAGGCUGAGGGGUACAGGCUGGGGCAGGAAUCUCGGUUCUUCCCAGCUCUGUGAGAACUGGGAGAUGCUCGAGAACUAUCCCAUCCCCGGAUCUCAGUUCCCCCAUUGUAACGGGGCAGCUGGACUCAGGGAUGUCCAGUCCCCAUGCUGGAUCCCACCCUCAUCUCCCUGUGUGAGACGGGCGUGGUGUCCUGUGCCCCAUCCCCAUCCCUGGGCCUGAAUUCCCAGCUGCUGUACUGGUGCCCGGGUCCCUGGGUCCCUCCCACCCUGAGCCGCCUCCAGACCAAGCUGUUGUCUCGGAUCCAAGCAGCCAGGCUGGCUGGGCCUGGAGCGGGACGGGAGGACUGCGGGAUUGGUGAGCCAGGAGGGGAACAGAGCACCUGCUUCUCUGUGACUGCCUCUUGGAGCACUAAUCAUGGAGUUGUCCCAGAGCAGGGCUCCUCACUGAGCCCUUCAAUAUCGGAUCUGUCAUGGAAGAAAAAUGUUGCGUUUUGUGUCUGAGACCUUUCCUUGAUCCUAUCUUGCAAAAGAGAAAGAAAGAAAAAAGAAACAACAAAGGCUGCCGGGAGAGUGAGAGAUUUGGGAGGAGCAUUUCUGAG